AUUUUCACACUGUCUUCAGUGAGGAGCAAGGGCGGGCGUCCGGCAUGCUGUUGGAAAGUUCUACCACUUCACUACUGACUGAUUAUGCAGUGACAGAGCUCAGUCCAGGUCUUCGACUGAGCAUGAUGAGCGCUCUGCAGGAAGUGUCUACACAGUCUAGCAGCACAUGUUUGUUUCUGAGCAUGUCUUGUUGAAUGCUGCUCAUUAUAUUGGCCUGAUUGCAGAGCCCAGCAUGGGAUUCUGAUCAGAUUGAACUCAUCAGUUAUAUAAAGAAUAAAUGAUUUAACAUAAAAGCCAUAAUACAGAGAGUCACAGCAUGCAUAUCAGUGGACACUGGAGAAUGUCAUGCACUCUUGAGUUUGACAAUGCCUUAUGUUUCUGCUGAGACAAAGUACUCAAUAAUGAAAAACAUCCCAGAUGUGUCAGGACUGUCCUGUGACCAAGUCACGCAAGGACUCGGAAAGCUUCUUCAGAAAAACAGCUGCAGAGAUAACACAGAGCAAUCACUGUUCAACAAGGAUUUCUUCAAGAUGUCAUAUUUCUGGUUGGUCCUGAAGGAGAAGAGUAGAGUAUCGCUUACACAUGCCCAUGAAACAUAAAUAUCUGGUUGCAUGUGAGAUGUCCUGGACCAGAGAUCCACAAGCAGACAUGGAGGUGUGUCAGACACAUGGGUGUUAUGACAGGAAUGCUCUCUCUUGUGCUUGCG
rnacentral:lncRNA from 1 species